rnacentral:rRNA from 1 species
ACGUAUGGUGCAAGCGUUAUCCGGAUUUACUGGGUGUAAAGGGAGCGCAGGCGGUCUGGCAAGUCUGAUGUGAAAAUCCGGGGCUCAACUCCGGAACUGCAUUGGAAACUGUCAGACUAGAGUGUCGGAGAGGUAAGUGGAAUUCCUAGUGUAGCGGUGAAAUGCGUAGAUAUUAGGAGGAACACCAGUGGCGAAGGCGGCUUACUGGACGAUAACUGACGCUGAGGCUCGAAAGCGUGGGGAGCAAACAG